CUUCGGACCCAACGUUCAUUGCAAUGGACAUGACAUAUUUCUGUCUCUAAACCAAUAAAUACCUUGUAUUUGAAUGAUGUCAGUAAUGCUGGUUACUGAUUGGAUCCUGAUUAUCCAAUCACAAUCAUGUCAUGACUUUGAGCAUGCUCUGAGAGAGUCACAGACAUCGGCCAAGACAAGCAUGGCGGAGCAACUGCAGAGAGGGAGAAGCUCUGGGUUUUCCUGGUGAUGACUGCUGUUCCCUACCCAUGCUGUGACAUACUGAUCAAGUUAAUGUGCAUGUUCAGAACUGUACACAGACUCAAACACAUGCAAACAUCCAGUUCCAGAUGUUUAGGUCGUACCUGAUUGAUUA